UAAGGAAUAUUGGUCAAUGGGAGGAAUCCUGAACCAGCCAUGCCGCGUGCGGGACGAAGGCCCUUUGGGUUGUAAACCGCUUUUGUCAGGGAAGAAUGGGUUAGAUUUAUCUAAUGAGAGACGGUACCUGAAGAAUAAGCACCGGCUAACUCCGUGCCAGCAGCCGCGGUAAUACGGAGGGUGCAAGCGUUAUCCGGAAUCACUGGGUUUAAAGGGUACGUAGGCGGUUUAAUAAGUCAGGUGUGAAAUACCGCGGCCUAACUGCGGAACUGCACUUGAUACUGUUAGACUUGAGAGGAGUGGAGGUAUACGGAAUGCAUCAUGUAGCGGUGAAAUGCUUAGAUAUGAUGUAGAACACCGAUAGCGAAGGCAGUGUGCCACACUUUAUCUGACGCUGAGG
rnacentral:rRNA from 1 species